rnacentral:rRNA from 1 species
UACGUAGGGCGCAAGCGUUGUCCGGAAUUAUUGGGCGUAAAGAGCUCGUAGGCGGCUUGUCACGUCGGGUGUGAAAGUCCGGGGCUCAACUCCGGAUCUGCGGUGGGUACGGGCAGACUAGAGUGAUGUAGGGGAGACUGGAAUUCCUGGUGUAGCGGUGAAAUGCGCAGAUAUCAGGAGGAACACCGAUGGCGAAGGCAGGUCUCUGGGCAUUAACUGACGCUGAGGAGCGAAAGCAUGGGGAGCGAACGGG